rnacentral:rRNA from 1 species
AAUGAACGCUGGCGGCGUGCUUAACACAUGCAAGUCGAGCGCGAAGGCGGCUUCGGCCGCUGGAGAGCGGCGAACGGGUGAGUAACACGUGGGUGAUCUGCCUGGGAGCGGGGGAUAACCUGGGGAAACUCGGGCUAAUACCGCAUACGUUGGUUAGGCUGCGGCCUUGCCAAGAAAGCUGGCCUCUGCUUGCAAGCUAGCGCUCCCAGAGGAGCCCGCGGCUGAUUAGCUGGUUGGUAGGGUAACGGCCUACCAAGGCGACGAUCAGUAGCCGGCCUGAGAGGGUGAUCGGCCACACUGGGACUGAGACACGGCCCAGACUCCUACGGGAGGCAGCAGUGGGGAAUAUUGGACAAUGGGGGAAACCCUGAUCCAGCAACGCUGCGUGGAGGACGAAGGUCUUCGGAUCGUAAACUCCUGUCAGGCGGGACGAAGGCUGCGGGGCAAAUAGCCUUGCAGCUUGACGGUACUGCCAGAGGAAGCCCCGGCUAACUCCG